GGUGAAGCUACCACCACCUCCUAGGGGACAAGGUGAAGCUACCACCACCUAUCCUGUCAGGGGACAAGGUGAAGCUACCACCACCUAUCCUAUCAGGGGACAAGGUGAAGCUACCACCACCUAUCCUAUCAGGGGA